rnacentral:rRNA from 1 species
GAUGAACGCUGGCGGCGUGCCUAAUACAUGCAAGUCGAGCGAACAGACGAUGAGCUUUCUCCCCUGACGUUAGCGGCGGACGGGUGAGUAACACGUGGAUAACCUACCUAUAAUACUGGGAUAACUUCGGGAAACCGCAGCUGAUACCGGCUCAUAUAUUCAACCGCAUGGUGCAAUAGUGAUAGACGGCUUUCCCGUUACUAAUAGCUGGUUCCGGGUCGCAUUAGCUAGUUGGUAAGGUAACGGCUUACCAAGGCAACGAUGCGUAGCCGAUCUGAGAGGGUGAUCAGCCACACUGGAACUGAGACACGGUCCAGACUCCUACGGGAGGCAGCAGUGGGGAAUAUUCGACAAUGGGCGAAAGCCUGACGGAGCAACGCCGCGUGAGUGAUGAAGGUCUUCGGAUCGUAAAACUCUGUUAUUAGGGAAGAAAAGAUGUAUAAGAAAAUAUCGACGUUUUGACGGUACCUAAAGAGAAAGCACCGGCUAACUACGUG